UACGGAGGGUGCAAGCAUUAAUCGGAUUUAUUGGGUGUAAAGAGCGUGUAGGCGGAUAAGUAAGUCAGAUGUGGAAAUUUCGAAGCUCAACUUCGAAGCUGCGUUUGAAACUCCUUAUCUUGAGGGUGGACGGAGAAAACGGAAUUCCAAGUGUAGCGGUGAAAUGCGUAGAUAUUAGGAGGAACACCAGUGGCGAAGGCGACUUACUGGACUGUAACUGACGCUGAGGCUCGGAAAAGCGUGGGG
rnacentral:rRNA from 1 species